rnacentral:rRNA from 1 species
AUACGUAGGGGGCGAGCGUUGUCCGGAAUGAUUGGGCGUAAAGGGCGCGUAGGCGGCCCGGUAAGUCUGGAGUGAAAGUCCUGUUUUUAAGAUGGGAAUUGCUUUGGAUACUGUCGGGCUUGAGUGCAGGAGAGGUAAGUGGAAUUCCCAGUGUAGCGGUGAAAUGCGUAGAGAUUGGGAGGAACACCAGUGGCGAAGGCGACUUACUGGACUGCAACUGACGCUGAGGCGCGAAAGUGUGGGGAGCAAACAGGAUUAGAUACCCUGGUAGUCCACACUGUAAACGAUGAAUGCUAGGUGUAAGAGGUAUCGACCCCUUUUGUGCCGGAGUCAACACAAUAAGCAUUCCGCCUGGGGAGUACGGCCGCAAGGUUGAAACUCAAAGGAAUUGGCGGGG